CUUUUCCGAUCUCCGUCUAAUAAGCCUGUUUAUCUGGUCUUCCCUGUUGCCAGCAUCUCCACCUUCUACAAAGUGAGUUGUCUUUUUCUUCAUUCCACCUCAUGGGGAAGAUAGUUUGAAGGACCAUUAAUAAUAAAAACCUCCCUUCCAAGGUAGAUUGCUUCAACUGACAAGACUCAGUGAUAUAUAGAAGGUGAAUAGUAGAAACCCUUAUGUUCUGCAU
rnacentral:sRNA from 1 species